CAGUUCUGGUGUUGUACCUCCAGCCCUGAAAUAUUUCUGCGUUUUGGUUUCUGUCUCGGUGGGUGGGAUGACCCUGGGACCAAAGUCAACUGUGUUUCUUAAGAAAAGUUUCUCUUCGAAAAUCUCCAUGGAACAGUCCUGGAGAAGCUGGAGGAGGACCAGACGGGGUGGAGGAAAGACAGGUCAGCGUGGGAACCAAGGGAGGAGGGGACUUCCCUGGAGGGAUUGGGGGAAGGCAUGGUCACUUCAUGGAAGAGUUUGAGGGACGUGGGGAUUCAUACGGCCAGGGAGGCCCUUGGGCCUGAGCUCUUUCUCGCUGGAGCGCUGCAGUCCCUGCCUGUGGGGCCAAAGACGGGGAGCAAGCCUGAGCCCUGGGGUGGAUCAGAAGACAGCAGGAGCUCUGCAGGUGUUGACGAGGGGACUGGAGCUCUUCCUGCCAGGGUCUCCUUGCCGCUUCUGUGCACUUGUGCAUGGCUCCACAGUGGGGACCUGUUCUAGAAGUGUGUCAUCAGAGGAGGAAACUGAGGCACAGAGAGGACGAGUAAAUUCACAGUGGAACACAGCUCCUAAGUGGAGCUGAGAUUGGAAUCCAGAAGACAGGGCUCCAGAGCCAGUCCCCUUCGCCACCUGGCUACACUGUGGUGUCAUGGCCCCUUCUAUCCCUCACGGAUCAGAGAGGGGAGUUUGUGCAGAGGUAGCUGAGGACCAGAUGCACAAACACAGCCCAGAAGGGCACCCGCACCUGAGCCGUCUGCUCUGGGUGAGAGUCAGCGACGUGUUAGGACCUGCCUGUGUGUCCUGAGCAGAUUCCCAUCCGGGGUGGAUUCCUGGCUUCCUCAUGUGCAGCCCCGUCACACGAGCAAGAGGGAAAUAUUUGUGAGCAUCAAGUGAAAGAAAGAAAGAAAGGAAAAAAAAAAAAGUAAGGCGUGGAACAAAACACGAUUGUGUUCUGGAUGGUUGGGUUUCAAGUAAACGAAACUCGUUCUCUCUCUGAGUGUAGCUCUAGGGACAAAAGCCAGGUCACCUCCCAGCUGCUGGGAACGCCUGCUGGCACUGCAGGGCUCUCGGCCAGUUCUGGUGACGGGACUCACGUCUG